UGUUCAACAUCAAUCGGUUUAGGGUAAAUAGAAGUUGCGACUUUUAUUCUUGAACAGAGCUUCGAUUCUUCUUCUUCUUCAACAUAGCUUCGACUUGCAGCCCUAACAGGUUAGUUUCGACGUUUCUUCUUCUUCUUCUUGUAAUUUGAAAAUACUGCUACAAAGUUCGGUUUUCAUUAUUUAUUUAUUUAUUAUUGUCAUUAUUGAGUUCAAGCAUGGGUUGUUGAUGAAUUUCACUUAUCUUUCUCCAUUUUUCUAGUUUUGUUUUUUAAUCUAACAUUGUGGUAUGAAUUACUUUUGACAAAUUUGGUCAGAUUUGUUAAGUUGAUCCCAGUCCUCCUAAGGAAAAUGGCUCAGAAGAAUGCCCUUGUUCGAAAAUUUCCUAGUGUUGAAAUUCUUGGCUGCACAACCGUGAUUUAUUCUCAGCUUCAUUCUUCAUCUCAAUUGAUGAAAUGAUAAUAUGACAAUGGAUUUUGAUGAGAGGUACUUCCAUGGGAAACCACAAAAUAGCUUCCACAAAGCAGUGAAUAUCCCUGAUGUGGCAAUUUUUCCAAGGCUCACCUUAUUGCUUUACUUCGGGUCUGUGCGGUCGUCUCUGAUUGAAUGCCUUGGAGUGGAGACUUUCUACUAGUUUCCUUUCUUUUGCAAAGUGCAAGCUCUUUUUUGCCUGUGAUGGCCCUUGCUCCUCAAGAGAAGGAAAGGAUUGUUGAUAUGGCGGCUGCUCCUGGUGGUAAAACAACCUACGUUGCUGCUCUUAUGAAAAAUAGUGGUGUGUAGUGAUUUUCAUCUUGACUCUGUUAUUUCAAUUGCACUUAUGCUUUCAAUUAAUUCAUAUGGUUGUUAUGGCUUACUCACAACUUGUUGGGUUGAGCAUACUCAAGUGUUAAAGGGCUGUUGAUUAAUUUUAUUCAUUCAUUUUGGCCAGCAUUGCUAAAAAUUCCUUCUUUCUUAGUUGAGUUCCUUACACCUAUUGUGAAGGUAUGUACUCCCUGUCCAAUCUUACUUUCAUUACACCUUCUUUGAUUACACCUAUUGUGACCUUUGGCUUUGCAUGUUUUUUGUCUGGGUUUGAAGCAAUUGUGAUUAGUGUGUUAUGAUAGAAAAAGAGGAGACUUUCACCUACCUCCUCUGUGGUUUGGCAAUUAGGCAAAAAACCCCUAAGGUUUGAGAAACAUACAAUUACCAUGAUGGAAAGCUAAUGGACCAAUGGCAAAAUGGUAAAAAUAUAUGAAAUAAAAAGAGAAUAGAAAAAACUUAUGAUCUACGGUUGACAAUUUCUAGUUUAUGGUGGCUUGUGAUGUUACGUAGUUGAUGGUUGACAAUUUUCUAGUCUUUGGUGCAUGUAUGUUUGGUAUCAUAUGGUAUAUUUAUAAGGUGGUAAGUGUCGUCCUUUUUUUUUUUAUAAAAUUUUUUCUGUAACAUUGUAUAAGCAUGUAUGUCAAAUAUUACAUCACAAAAAUAAGAACAGAUUUAGGAGAAAUGGGAAAUUUAUAUAUGGUUGGUUUUGCCUCACAUUUACAACAAAAAAUAUUCUCACCAUUGGCCUUAUAGGCCAAGUGGUACUUGGGUGUUCUCCCAACCUUGAUGUUUCGGCGCUCGGAUGCUCAAGUUUCUUUCCUGUCUUGAUUAGCCUAGAAAAUGGGCAGGAUCCUGUAUUAUUGAUUAUUUAGUUUAUUAAAAUUAGAAAAAAAAUUAUGAUAAAAGGGGCCAUGAAAAUGAUGCAUUUGGAAAUAUUUUUGGAGUUUUUUGGGAGUCAUAUCACCUCAUUCAAGAGCUGCUGAUAUUCCUGAUAAAUGUCAAGUUGCAGGCCAUUAGGAGUCCAAUUUGUUAUUGGUAUUUAAAAUUAUCGUCUUCUUGCUUUGUGUUUUUUUGUGCCUUUAUUUUUUUGUUGGUUGUAUGGUUGGGCUUGUCUCUUUAAUUAACACUAACUAAUCCUUGGUAUGCUGCUUAUGCAUGAAACUUCUAUUUUGUUGGAGGGAGAGAUUUUGUAAAUCUUUCUUUCAUUUGAAUUCAGCUGCACUACAUCUUUGAUUUAUUCUACAAUUCAGGGCAAGCAAAAACGAAAUAAUUGCAAGGUGAAGGAUAAAGAAAGGGAUGACAAGUCAGGUGUUGCAAUCCAAGACAUCCUCCAAGAAGAAAGCCUUGCUGAUGAAAGAAAAUAUUUCACGAUCGAGGAUGCAGAACUCGUGCUUGAAAAUUCUGAUGUGUCUGAUCCAGUAGAUUGUCUUCCUGAAAUGCAGCUUGAUUCAGAAGACAGAGAUACGGACACAUCAAAAGUUAAUGAUGUGACUUGUGAAUGAAAACUUAGAAUAGUUGGAUUGUGUCAAAUGUUAAUGAAUUAUGUAUUGUGUCGAAUGUUAAUGAUUUAGUUAAUUUGAAUGAUGUUU